rnacentral:rRNA from 1 species
AACGAACGCUGGCGGCAGGCCUAACACAUGCAAGUCGAGCGAACCCUUCGGGGUUAGCGGCGGACGGGUUAGUAACGCGUGGGAAUAUACCCUUUGGUACGGAAUAGCCUCGGGAAACUGAGAGUAAUACCGUAUGUGCCCUUCGGGGGAAAGAUUUAUCGCCAAAGGAUUAGCCCGCGUUGGAUUAGAUAGUUGGUGGGGUAAUGGCCUACCAAGUCUACGAUCCAUAGCUGGUUUGAGAGGAUGAUCAGCAACACUGGGACUGAGACACGGCCCAGACUCCUACGGGAGGCAGCAGUGGGGAAUUUUGGACAAUGGGCGCAAGCCUGAUCCAGCCAUGCCGCGUGAGUGAAGAAGGCC